rnacentral:rRNA from 1 species
CCCUAUGGGUGCAGCAGGCCACAGAAAUGGUUGAAUGAAUGUUGGCAAUUGAUGUGCGAGGAUAGCGCCAAGUGGAAACCGGAUGUAGUAAUUCUAUUGGGAGACCUGGUGGAGGGGAUAGCGCCCGAUAACGGUGAAUUGAUAACGAACAAUCUGGCAGAGCAGCAAGGAGCGGCGAUUGAAUUAUUGAGCAAGGCCAUUCCGCGCAAGGCGGAGCUGUUUGUGGUCAAGGGCACUCCACGCCACGAAGGGCUGCUAUCGGGGAUUACAACUGGUGUUGCGCGAGAAAUGAAGGCCAAGCCAACGGAAGGCGGUACCUAUGUCAGGCCAUUUAUAUUAUUGGAUACGCCAGCCGGUUAUUUAUUCGGCAUCCACCAUACCAGUGGCGGGGGGGC